UCAGAGCCGUCUCCUUGCCCCUUCUGUCAGGCCGAGGUCCCCGGGCUCCGCUGUCCCCGGUGCAACAGCAGCCUUGGGGUGAUGGUAGCAGCCGAAGAACCCUGCCGCCGCUCGGCGGCCGGAACAGAGCGCCCUCCGGGCUGGUAUCACCGCCCUCGGCUCGGGUACCGCGACUCAGCCGGCUCCUGCGUUGUGCCAGUCGGCUCUUGGCCCAGCUUGCUUCCGUCUGGGAAGCUGCUGUAGCAAAGGUACUUUACUGGAGUUUCAUCCAGCUCUGGAGCCCCCACAACAAGAUGGACAUGGAGCUGCUGAAGCAAGUUCAGAGGAAGCCACAGAGAUGAUGAUUUCUGGAAGAGACAACAACUUUACCUCCAGACGUUCAAAAUCUGACCCAGAUGGCAGCUAUAAUUGUGAUGAGAGCACAGAGAAAAUGAACAUAAAUACGUCUAACUGUGUAAUAAGAAUAAAUACCUUGUCAAUUUGGUUAAUCUCA